GCCAUGGCGGGAAGCGAGUCGCGCAGUGGAGGCGGCUCCCCUCAGCCUCACCACAGCGACUGGGGCCGCCUGGAGGCUGCUAUCCUCAGCGGCUGGAGGAGCUUCUGGCAGUCGGUGGGCAAGGAGAGGGCGGCUCCGAGGGCCUCCCCGGAGGAGGCGGACGAGGAGGCCAGCUCGCUAACGCGGCUGCCGAUUGAUGUACAGCUAUAUAUUUUGUCAUUUCUUUCACCUCAUGAUCUAUGUCAGUUGGGAAGUACAAGUCAUUAUUGGAAUGAAACUGUACGAGAUGCAAUUCUGUGGAGAUAUUUUCUGUUGCGGGAUCUUCCUUCUUGGUCUUCUGUUGACUGGAAGUCUCUUCCAGAUCUAGAAAUCUUAAAAAAGCCUAUAUCUGAGGUCACUGAUGGUGCAUUUUUUGACUACAUGGCAGUCUAUAAAAUGUGCUGUCCAUAUACAAGAAGAUCCUCAAAAUCUAGCCGUCCUAUGUAUGGAGCUGUCACCUCAUUUUUACACUCAUUGAUCAUUCAGAAUGAACCACGAUUUGCCAUGUUUGGACCAGGUUUGGAAGAACUAAAUACAUCUUUGGUGUUGAGCUUGAUGUCUUCCGAGGAGCUUUGCCCAACAGCUGGUUUGCCUCAGAGGCAGAUUGAUGGUAUUGGAUCAGGAGUCAGUUUUCAGUUGAGCAACCAACAUAAAUUCAACAUCCUAAUAUUAUAUUCAACUACAAGAAAGGAAAGAGAUAGAGCAAGAGAAGAACAUACAAGUGCAGUUAACAAGAUGUUCAGUAUACAGAAUGAAGGGGAUGAUCAACAAGGAAGCCGGUACAGUGUAAUUCCACAAAUUCAGAAGGUGUGUGAAGUUGUUGAUGGGUUCAUCUAUGUUGCAAAUGCUGAAGCUCAUAAAAGACAUGAAUGGCAAGAUGAAUUUUCUCGUAUUAUGGCAAUGACAGAUCCAGCUUUUGGAUCUUCAGGAAGACCAAUGCUGGUUUUAUCUUGUAUUUCUCAAGCUAAUGUAAAAAGAAUGCCCUGUUUUUAUUUGGCCCAUGAGCUGCGUCUGAAUCAUCUAAGCCACCCGUGGAUGGUCCAGGAUACAGAGGCUGAAACUUUAACUGGUUUUUUGAAUGGCAUUCAGUGGAUUCUUGAAGAAGUAGAAUCUAAGCAUGCAAGAUGAUCCUCCUUUUAGACCUUGGGAACUGAAAGCAUUUGAAACUUGUUACUAAGGUCGUGAUGUGGAUAUUUGCUCAAGUCAGCUCAUUCUGCCCUGCCUUUUUGCAGCUGGAACAUUGGUCUUCUCCUGCCUUCACAAUUGGACUUGGACAGGAACUACACCAUUGGUUUUACUGGGUCUUCACCAGAUUUCUGGGUUCAACUGCAGAUCUUGGAACUUCUCAGUCUCCAUAAUCACCAAUGUUUUCUUCUAUGAUUAAGAGAAAUGUAACAGAAAGGUGAAGGAUAAGAAAAGAGUGAAAAGAUGUUUGAGGAAGCGGAGCAAGCCAAAGAACUAUGUGUACCAUUCCACUUUUAUUUGGGGAGGAUGUGCACGAGGAUAUGUUACGUGCACUUUUGUUGCCGACGAACACCACAGCUGCAGAACUAUUCAAGUCUUUGAAUGGUUACAUAUCAGGAAAACUGAAUUGAUCAUUUUGUGUAGGUAUGUGCACGGACGGA